rnacentral:rRNA from 1 species
GAUCAACGCUGGCGGCGUGCUUAACACAUGCAAGUCGAACGAAGUUUUUCUUUCGGGAGGAACUUAGUGGCGGACGGGUGAGUAGCGCGUGGGUAACCUGCCCUGUACAGGGGGACAACAGCUGGAAACGGCUGCUAAUACCGCAUAAGCCCUUAGCACUGCAUGGUGCAUAGGGAAAAGGAGCAAUCCGGUACAGGAUGGACCCGCGUCUGAUUAGCCAGUUGGCAGGGUAACGGCCUACCAAAGCGACGAUCAGUAGCCGAUCUGAGAGGAUGUACGGCCACAUUGGGACUGAGACACGGCCCAGACUCCUACGGGAGGCAGCAGUGGGGAAUAUUGCACAAUGGAGGAAACUCUGAUGCAGCGACGCCGCGUGAGUGAAGAAGUAUUUCGGUAUGUAAAGCUCUAUCAGCAGGAAAGAAAAUGACGGUACCUGACUAAGAAGCACCGGCUAAAUACGUG